rnacentral:tRNA from 1 species
ACUUAAAUAGUUUAAUUAAAACAUUGAUUUGUGGGGUCAGGGAUGUACAUAAAGUAUUUUAGGU